GGUUCAGGACGAACGCUGGCGGCGUGCCUAAUACAUGCAAGUCGAACGGCUUUUCUAUGGAAGCUUGCUUCCACUGAGAAGAUAGUGGCGAACGGGUGAGUAACACGUGGGUAACCUGCCCAUAAGAGGGGGAUAACAUCCGGAAACGGGUGCUAAUACCGCAUAGUUUUCUUGAUCGCAUGAUCGGGAAAGGAAAGACGGCCUUUGUGCUGUCGCUUAUGGAUGGACCCGCGGCGUAUUAGUUAGUUGGUGAGGUAACGGCUCACCAAGACGAUGAUACGUAGCCGACCUGAGAGGGUGAUCGGCCACAUUGGGACUGAGACACGGCCCAAACUCCUACGGGAGGCAGCAGUAGGGAAUCUUCCGCAAUGGACGAAAGUCUGACGGAGCAACGCCGCGUGAGUGAAAGAAGGUUUUCGGAUCGUAAAACUCUGUUGUCAGAGAAGAACAAGUUGGAGAGUAACUGCUCCAGCCUUGACGGUAUCUGACCAGAAAGCCACGGCUAACUACGUGCCAGCCGCCGC
rnacentral:rRNA from 1 species